AAUCAACGCUGGCGGCGUGCCUCAGACAUGCAAGUCGAACGAUUAAGACUCUCUUCGGAGAGUGUAUAAAGUGGCGCACGGGUGAGUAACACGUAGGUAAUGUACCGAAGGGUGGGGAAUAACUUAGGGAAACUUAAGCUAAUACCGCAUAAUGCAGCGGCUCGACAUCGAGACAGUUGUUAAAGGAGCAAUCCGCCUUUUGAGCAGCCUGCGGCAGAUUAGCUAGUUGGUAAGGUAAUGGCUUACCAAGGCUACGAAUCUGUAACCGACCUGAGAGGGUGGUACGGGUCAC
rnacentral:rRNA from 1 species